AGAUUGGGGUGGACUGACUUUUCAAAAAGCUAACUUGUGCGUGGGAAUCAGAAAGACUUGUGUUUUUCAUCAAAUGCAGAAAUCGGUAUUGGGGGUGGUGGAGAAAUUCACAUAAUGCAUUUUCCAUGAAAUAGCAUCGUUCUGGAGACCGCUCUUCCGGAUGGAAAGUCAGAGUCGUGCAGAACAUUGGCGCCAUCAGGUCAUGUAUAGAGCAGCAUUUCGUUGAAAGUGGAAUUAAACAUAAAGAUUGCAUAAUUUGAUGUCUAAUCAUCAGCAAGUGGAUCAAAACUUGGAUUGAAUAGACGGUGACUCGAUCUCCGUAGAGACUGAGGUCCAAAGGUCUGCGCUCACUUCUGGAACUUUCCUUUUGGGCCUUGACCGAAACUCCUGUUAUUAUGUGCAGUAGCAGAGGCUGCGCUGCCUGAUUCAGUUUGUGCAAAGGCUAUUCAUUGUUUCUCAUUCACUGACCACUCGGGAGAAGUCUUUAGCAAUAGUUUUUCCCGACACAAACGUGAAUAAAGUCGACCCCUGCGGUUCUUCCUGAGGCUCUACAAGCUUCCUGGAUGCAGGAACCAUGUGCUGUUCCGACGGCGCUCCGAAACCUAGUUCAGUGCCUGGCACUAGACAAUAAAAAAUUGCUUUCUGAAUGAAAGUAUAUGCUGGCAGGCGCA
rnacentral:antisense_RNA from 1 species